AUUAAAGUGGGCCUACAACAACUUGUGGGUGGCCUAAAGCCUUUACACAUCCCUUUUUAGUGCAUAAACUACUAAGCUAUUAAAAUAUUUGUUGUCAU